rnacentral:lncRNA from 1 species
UUGUGAUGAUGAUGAGCUAAGCUUGGUGCAUGGUAGUCUUUCUAUCUCUGUAGUCACUGUAUGGUACCAUAGCAGGUAUCACUCUUCGAGUGCAUACAGACAGAGCAUGCAUAGUCCAGGCUUAGUGGAAGUUAUACAGAAAGAAAAGAUAGUCAAGCAGAAAAAAACAAAAAGAGUAAGUAACAGUUUUAAGCUUAAGUAUGAUCAUGUAUGGGAUUUAUCAGGUACACAGAGUUGACAGUAGGCUUACUACGGGUCCCGGCGGCCUUAAGCCGAUCUGGAUCCUAGUGCCGGUGAUGGUCCGGUAAGCGGGCUGUUACAGUAGCAUGGGGUCCUGGUCUUCCUGUCUUGGACUAAUUGGGUCAUCCAACAUUCACCCACAUCAACAACAAUUGAUGCAAUGCGGCAGAUUCGUGAAACUAAUGCAAUCAUCCUAUUGCAUAAUCAUGAUGCAUGAAACAUGAUAAAACAUUUAAUUUAAAAG